UUUAUAUGGAAGAAAAUAUAUGAAAGCAAAUUAAGCGAUGAAAAUAUCUAUCCAAAGUUUGCUUGUGUAUAGUAAUCAUUAUUUGAGUUAUUUGCGUAAGAUAAUGGAAGUUUUAUUUGCAGUUUUCAUUAUUAUUAUUGUAUAUUUAUUUUCGUUGCUUCGGUAAUAAACGUCUGCGCAGGACCAUGGGAUAGCGCUGGAACAAAGCCUGGUAUUACAAGAUGCUUUGCCAAAUCACAUCAGCUAUUUCUAAAGGCCAAAGAGGGGGUCAAUCGUGUUCCAAGGAGUGUUUCUUUAGGUUCACGGUAUAGAGGAAGGGUCACACUACCACCAGGGUCAUAAAACUACUCCUGGAAAUGCCCACAACUCCUACGAAAGUCUUGUCAAAUAUGUGUUUCCUAGGUUCAUGGUACGGAAGAAGGGUCAGACUACCACCAGGGUCAUAAAACUACUCCUGGAAAUGCCCACAACUCCUACGAAAGUCUUGUCAAAUAUGUGUUUCCUAGGUUCAUGGUACGGAAGAAGGGUCAUACUACCACCAGGGUCAUAAAACUACUCCUGGAAAUGCCCACAACUCCUACGAAAGCCUUGUCAAAUAUGUGUUUCCUAGGUUCAUGGUACAGAAGAAGGGUCAGACUACCACCAGGGUCAUAAAACUACUCCUGGAAAUGCCCACAACUCCUACGAAAGUCUUGUCAAAUAUGUAUUUCCUAGGUUCAUGGUACAGAAGAAGGGUCAGACUACCACCAGGGUCAUAAAACUACCCCUGGAAAUGCCCACAACUCCUACGAAAGCCUUGUCAAAUAUGUGUUUCCUAGGUUCAUGGUACAGAAGAAGGGUCAAACUACCACCAGGGUCAUAAAACUACUCCUGGAAAUGCCCACAACUCCUACGAAAGCCUUGUCAAAUAUGUGUUUCCUAGGUUCAUGGUACAGAAGAAGGGUCAGACUACCACCAGGGUCAUAAAACUACCCCUGGAAAUGCCCACAACUCAUAGGAAAGCCUUGUCAAAUAUGUGAACUUGGGCGACGAAAUGUUUUAAAAUACGACCCUAAGGAUGGGAAAGGGGCCUGCUUGGAGCCUUGCCCGGAGCAGCGUUGCCAGAUUAUCGUAUUCACCACUUCGUCUAUAUUACUUUUAAGCCUCAAACUCUCGUACAGACACAAAUAACGAUAGAAAAUUGAAGUUAGCGUUAAAACUCCUAUUUAUUGAUGUUUGUUUGUAUGUUUUUGCAUUCGUUUUUGGUCAGAAACUACGAAAAUGCAAUGCGAUGCGUACGAUAAUUUGCCACCAACACAACACUCUGAGCUCGUUAUUUUGCUAUACAGUGAACACGAUGGAGGUGGCGGCGGUGGUGGUGGUGGUGGUGGUGUCGGCGGGAAGGCCCAGUGUUGCCACAUCCGGGUCGCCACACGCCUUGUUUACCUCCGCACGAGAUAAAACGGGAGGCCUAAUGGACGGGACUUUUCGUAUAAAUUUUUACCAAGUGAUGUGUUCGUUCGGUAAUUCACGUCUCUUCGUUAAAUUCUUGUGCGUUUCGAAAAGUGUGUUUGAAAUAGCUUAGAAUCAUUUUCUUAUGCAUUUUUUUACUUUUUUAUUUGUUUGUUUGGUAAUUCAUUUCCUUAACAAAUUCUGCGUCUCCGAAAAGUGCACCAUUUUAAUUUUUCAUACAAGCUGUAUACUUUUUAAGACUAAUUUUUUCCCGAAGUAAACUGAUUUCGUCCUUAAAUUCUUCUGUUUCCAAGUAUAUAUAUUUUUUUUCGCUAACAAUACAAACUUAACAUUUUUCAUUCAAGUAUUUUUUUCGUGUUUCCAAGUAUGUAUUUAUAUUUUUCAGUAACUAUACAAACUUAACAUUUUUCAUUCAAGUAUUUUUUUUUCGUGUUUCCAAGUAUAUAUAUAUUUUUUUCACUAAUUAUACAAACUUAACAUUUUUCAUUCAAGUAUUU